AUGCUCGAGCUGCUCGCGCGGCGAGAGCGGGCCGCCGCGUGCCGGCCGGGGGACGGACCGGGAACGGCCCCCUCGGGGCCUUCCCCGGGCGUCGAACAACCGACUCAGAACUGAAUCCAAGCUAGCAACCGGCGCCUCUGCUCGCCGCCCGCCCCGACCCACGUUAGGGCGUUCGCGCCCCAAGGGCCCGUGCCAUUGGCUCAGCCCGCCCGGCCGACGCGCCGCGGCGGGCCGCCUCGAAGCUCCCUUCCCAACGGGCGGCGUGCUGAAUCCUUUGCAGACGACUUAAAACGCGACGGGGCAUUGCAGAACUCCCCGAAGUCCUGGGAGGGGGUCUCCUCGGCCGAGCCCCGCACCCCCUCGCGGCCUAGCCGUGGCCGGUCGGCACCCUACCGCGCCCAGCUCCGGCUGGCGCUGUUGGCUGCCUGGCCGGCCGUGGUUCGGCCGUGA
rnacentral:misc_RNA from 1 species